rnacentral:rRNA from 8 species
GGCGGCCUUAGCGCGGUGGUCCCACCUGACCCCAUGCCGAACUCAGAAGUGAAACGCCGUAGCGCCGAUGGUAGUGUGGGGUCUCCCCAUGCGAGAGUAGGGAACUGCCAGAC